rnacentral:rRNA from 1 species
AACGCGAAGAACCUUACCUGGGCUCGAAGCACAGUGGACCGGGGUAGAAAUAUCCCUUUUCGCAAGAACUGCUGUGGAGGUGCUGCAUGGCUGUCGUCAGCUCGUGUCGUGAGAUGUUGGGUUAAGUCCCGCAACGAGCGCAACCCUUAUCGUUAGUUGCCAUCAGGUCAAGCUGGGCACUCUAGCGAAACCGCCCCGGAUAACGGGGAGGAAGGUGGGGAUGACGUCAAGUCCUCAUGGCCUUUAUGUCCAGGGCUACACACGUGCUACAAUGGUCGGUACAAACCGUCGCAAACCUGCGAAGGGGAGCUAAUCGGAAAAAGCCGGCCUCAGUUCGGAUUGGAGUCUGCAACUCGACUCCAUGAAGCUGGAAUCGCUAGUAAUCGCGGAUCAGCACGCCGCGGUGAAUACGUUCCCGGGCCUUGUACACACCGUAGUAC